AGCUAAUCCGAUGAUGGCUGUCUACCAACAGAAAGUCCAAGAAUCCAGGAGUCCUUCAAUCCACCAGACUGGAUGUCUCAGCUGGUCUUCAGAAGCCACCAGAAUCUCGAAGAAGUGUGCUCUGAUGCCGGAAGGGAAUGGACUUGCCCCUGAGAGCAAGGGCAAGCAGGCAAAGAGUGCAGACUUCCUCUGUGUCUGUUAUAUAGCUGUCACCAGAAGGUGUGGGCCGGAUUAAAGGCGGGGCUUGCAUUUCAAAUGCCUUCAUUAAGAAAGACCCCUCACAGGUGUGCUCGGCCUUUUGGGUUUAGUUAAGUCAUGUAGCCAUUGUAGCUGUUAAUGGAGUGUCAGUUUUCCACCAGGUUCAUCAUCAGGAGCUACAGCAGUAAGAGCCAGUUUGCUAUUGAUUUUUUUUUAAUUUUCUCCGUCCCUUGCUUUCACGUCUUUCUUUCCUUCUGUGUCUUUCUUCUUCCUUCCCCUCCUCCCCCCUUUCUCCGCUGUUCUUUCCAUUCCCUUUCAUUUCCCAUGCUCUGCCUACCUCACCUCCUGGUAGACGACUUCGUAUUGAAAAGCCAGUCUGUUUCUUUACAGAAAGCCUUGUGUGUUUCUGUAGCCUCUGUCUAUAUGAGGUGCUUGGUGACAUAAUUAUGAACUUGGCCUUUUCUUAACACGCUGGCCCAGAAUGUAGUGACUGGCAAACAGAAAUAAGAUGAAUAGUUCUAAAAUCAGAGUCAUCGUUUUUGGGAGGCAUUGCCCAACAUCUAAUUGACUUGCAGUUAACAACCCAGGAGAGGAAGUGGACUAAUUAGGGGUGCAUUUGCCUACUGUUUUCCUUGGGUGGGGGAACCAGAAAGUUAUGUAAUUUAAAGUCAAGUUGUACAGAUGCUCAAUUGAACCUUCUUAUGUCCGAGGCAAGUGCAUGUGUUUGGAAGGACACCGGGCUAAGGAGCUGAGGUUUGGGAAAGAACUGUGGGAACAGACCCAGGAUAUCUCCUGAUACUUGUCCUGGGCUUGUGUCUCCCUCCCUCGGUCUCCAUUUGUGCAGUACCAGAGUCACCUUGGUGUUUGCAGCAGGGGCAUCCGUGACUCAGACACAGGACUGCAGAGUGCUGCCUACGCCUGCCCAGUGAGUGUGAGAGGUCCUCAAGAGGAUCGUCCAAGGGCCUCACUAGCCAGGAGUCCUCAGGUCACCCCUCCCCCAAGGACAGCGAUAGAAGUACUCUGCUGACAAGAGACAGCUCAGUCAGGACUGGGGAAAAGAACACUGAACUGCAGUCUUGAGACAGAGUUUGAAUUCCCAGCACCCAUGGAAGAAGCUGAGCAUGGCUGGGCAUGCCUCUGUAACCCCAGCACGGGCGUGGAUGAAGACAGGCAGAUCCCAAGCACUUGCCAGCCAGCCAGCCUAGUUGAAGUGGCUCAGUGAAAGGCUGUCUCAAGGCAGUGAAAGUGGAGAGCAGAGGAGGAGGCACCCAAGAUCCUGCCUUGGCCUCUGCAUGCACGCUUGACAGCAGGCAAUCACACACACUGUCAUACCACAGUUUCCAAAACUUUAAAUAGUGUUCACUACCCCUGUGGAUGGACUUGGAUCUACGUUUAAACCCACAGUCAGAAAUAGCAGCGCUGCUGAACAGUUGCAACACUGAAGUGUAUAACACGGCAAUUCCCUUUGGCUGGUAGGAAGCUCAAAUGCAUUGUGACUCUGCUCUUCAAGAACUGCCCUGGGUGUUGGAGAGAUGACUGGGAGGUUAAGAGCACAGGCUGCUCUUCCAGAGGAGUUUGAGUCCCAGCACCCGUUUGGUGACUCACAACCGUCUGUAAAUCCAGUCCCGGGAAUCCGAUGCCCUCUUCUGGUCUCCGAGAACACCAGGCACAAAUGUAAACAUGCAGGCAGACAAACCCGUCAUUCACAUAAACAACACUUUAAAAGAAGUGGCUGUGACCUUCUAGGAUGUAUUCGGCCACUAUGUUCAUCUCACCGUUUUUCCCACACCCUAUUUUCUUUCUUGCUUUCUCACUUUAGCUUUCUGUCUUAGACUGUAUGCUAAAUCUUUCAUUUAAGCUGAGGUGUGGCAUACAUAAGAUGUAGUCAACUGUAAACCUAUUUAUACUUAAUAGAGGACAUGAAGUAAAGACAUAAAGAUUAAAAUAAUACAGGACACUAAAAGUUCCUCUCUAAAAGUCUAUACUUUGUUACGGCGAUAGAAAACAGCCUUGAGAAGUCCUUGCGAUCCCAGCAUGUGGCAAAGGACAGCUGUGGUGUGGACAGAGCUCUGCACACCAAGGGCAGCUUGGAUUAAUACUGACGUGUAGUGUAUGGGGAUCACUGUAUUCCAGGCUUCACCUGCCUGAUGCACCACUGAGUCCUCCCACCUGUUGGCACGGCACAAACCUGGCUGAUGCACCACUGACUCCUCCCACCUGUUGGCAUGGCACAAACCUGGCUGAUGCAC